ACCGUUUUUAAAGAAGCGGAAAUAAAAAAUAAUUUUUUAUGAUAACAUAAAUUGAACAGGCUAAUUUGCGCAAGAGAGUACAAAUUGAGUGCGCGGUUUGGCACCUCGAUGUCGGCUUAACUCAUCCACAUGAAUGCAAAAAUCAUGAAGGGUUCGACUGUUCGUCGAUUAAAGAGUUACAUGAGCUGGGUUUAAUACGUCGUGAGACAGUAUGGUUUCUAUCUUCUAGAAGGAAUUAAAGUAAAAUAAAUAUAGCCCCUUCGUACGAAAGGAGUUGGGUAUGUUGAUCUAUGGUUUACCUGUUGUCUAUAUUAUUUAUAAAUUAUAUUUUAAUAACUUACUUUUACUUAAGUAAGUUGCUUAUAGGCAUGGCAGGAAUGCUACAUCAAUUAGAGAUAAGUGCUGAAAGCAUUUAAGCGCGAAGCUUACUUUAUAAUACUUAAAAACGUAGUAGAACACUACGAGUAUUUAAUAAUUAUAUAUUUAUAAUUAUUAAUUCAUAGGCUUUAGUUGUAUUAACUUUGAUGUUUUAAGAUAUAAAGUACUAAUUUAACAU
rnacentral:ncRNA from 1 species